rnacentral:rRNA from 1 species
AUCUAUGUGCGUGCAUUUGAAGAUCGCAUGGACUUGCUCAGGGCGGUGAUUGUCGGGCCAAGUGGGACCCCGUAUCAGGACGGGCUAUUCUUUUUCGACUUGCAACUGCCGCUGUCCUACCCGGCCGCACCACCGCAAGUUUACUACCAUUCAUUUGGUCUCCGCCUCAACCCCAACCUAUAUGCCUCCGGCACUGUGUGCCUUAGCCUGCUCAACACUUUUGGUGGUGAUGGCACCGAGGUCUGGUCCCCGGCGACGUCAACCCUCCUUCAAGUCCUCGUGUCCAUCCAAGGCCUGGUCCUCAAUAACCAGCCAUACUACAAUGAGGCUGGCUACGAAGACCUGGUUGGCACGCCAGAGGGCCGCCGCAAUACGCUGCCUUACAACGAGAAGGCAUAUUUGCUCACCCUAUGGGCCAUGCUCCACCUGUUACGUCGCCAACCGCAGGGAUUCGAGGAGUUCAUCAAGGACCACUUCCGUCACCGGGGAAGAUUCGUGCUUAGGGCAUGCGAGGCAUACCUUCAAGGAUGCAUCGUCGGAACGCUCACUAGUGAUGCCAGCCCCACCGAGGAGAAUAGUGAGCGGCCGUGCUCGGCAGGGUUAAGGCUUGCACUCACCAACGUGGUGCCAAGCCUCAUGGAGGCAAUAAGAGAAGUUGGGGCCGAGGUGUAA